GGGCUGGGCGUGCUAUACAUGCAAGUCGAGCGAAUGACGAGAAGCUUGCUUCUCUGAUUUAGCGGCGGACGGGUGAGUAACACGUGGGCAACCUGCCCUACAGAUUGGGAUAACUCAGGGAAACCUGGGCUAAUACCGAAUAAUCCUUCGAAUCACAUGUUUUGAAGUUGAAAGGCGCUUCGGCGUCACUGUAGGAUGGGCCCGCGGUGCAUUAGCUAGUUGGUGGGGUAACGGCCUACCAAGGCAACGAUGCAUAGCCGACCUGAGAGGGUGAUCGGCCACAUUGGGACUGAGACACGGCCCAAACUCCUACGGGAGGCAGCAGUAGGGAAUCUUCCACAAUGGACGAAAGUCUGAUGGAGCAACGCCGCGUGAGUGAUGAAGGUUUUCGGAUCGUAAAACUCUGUUGUAAGGGAAGAACAAGUACGUUAGGAAAUGAACGUACCUUGACGGUACCUUAUUAGAAAGCCACGGCUAACUACGUGCCAGCAGCCGCGGUAAUACGUAGGUGGCAAGCGUUGUCCGGAUUUAUUGGGCGUAAAGCGCGCGCAGGUGGUUUCUUAAGUCUGAUGUGAAAGCCCACGGCUCAACCGUGGAGGGUCAUUGGAAACUGGGGAACUUGAGUGCAGAAGAGGAUAGUGGAAUUCCAAGUGUAGCGGUGAAAUGCGUAGAGAUUUGGAGGAACACCAGUGGCGAAGGCGACUGUCUGGUCUGUAACUGACACUGAGGCGCGAAAGCGUGGGGAGCAAACAGGAUUAGAUACCCUGGUAGUCCACGCCGUAAACGAUGAGUGCUAAGUGUUAGGGGGUUUCCGCCCCUUAGUGCUGCAGCUAACGCAUUAAGCACUCCGCCUGGGGAGUACGACCGCAAGGUUGAAACUCAAAGGAAUUGACGGGGGCCCGCACAAGCGGUGGAGCAUGUGGUUAAUUCGAAGCACGCGAGAACCUUACCAGGUCUUGACUCCCAUGACCGUCUAGAAAAGGAUUUCCUUCGGGACUUGGUGACGGGGGUGAUGUUGCCUCACUCGG
rnacentral:rRNA from 1 species